AAAAAAAAAAAAGAAAAAAAAACAAAAAACCCUGAGGUUCAGCCAUUAAAUAGUACUUCCUGUUCUUGCAGAGGUCCUGCUUUCUGUUCCCAGCAUCCACACAAUGUCUCACAACCAUCAGUAACUCCAGUUCAAAGAUAUCUGAUGUUUGCUUUGACUUCCUCAAGUACCUCCUGCACACAUGCGAUGCCCAUAUGUGUGUAUGUAUGUAUACACAUAUAUACACUUAGAAGUGGUAGUGUACAGCUGUAAUCAUAGCUCUCAGGAGGUAGAGGCAUGUGGAUUUCUGUGGGUUUUGAUAACCAUCAUUGAGGGGAAAGUCUGCAGUGUUUCUCUAAAACAAAAUAUCACAAGAGAAAAAGUACCAAAUGUUCAAAAGUUUUGAGUAAAUUCGCAUUCUUGGAUAAACAUGAUAGUGUCCCUUGUUAGUCAGAUCUUGCUCCCCCCUCCCCCC
rnacentral:lncRNA from 1 species